rnacentral:lncRNA from 1 species
GAGAAUGGAUUGCAAGCUUUGUGGCAUUCAAGAGCAAGGAUGAUAAUUUCGAGUCGAUCAAGAUGCCGGCUAAGUCAGCAAAAGCAAUUGGCAUUCAGGCCUUGUCUUCAACCAAGUAUCUGAUCUUGGACUCUGAAGGAAAUCUUCACCUCUUGUUCCUGGCAACUUCUGUCCAUUCAGGCCUUGUCUUCAACCAAGUGUCUGAUCUUGGACUCUGAAGGAAAUCUUCACCUCUUGUUCCUGGCAACUUCUGUCCAGGGAUCAGAGACUCCUUAUUACAUGAAAGAGUUGACUCACAACAUGAAAGUUCGAAAGCUCGUUGUUUUUCCGGAUUCUUCUACA